rnacentral:rRNA from 1 species
GUGGGGAAUAUUGGACAAUGGGCGAAAGCCUGAUCCAGCCAUGCCGCGUGUGUGAAGAAGGUCUUCGGAUCGUAAAGCACUUUAAGUUGGGAGGAAGGGCAGUAAGUUAAUACCUUGCUGUUUUGACGUUACCGACAGAAUAAGCACCGGCUAACUUCGUGCCAGCAGCCGCGGUAAUACGAAGGGUGCAAGCGUUAAUCGGAAUUACUGGGCGUAAAGCGCGCGUAGGUGGUUUUGUAAGUUGGAGGUGAAAUCCCCGGGCUCAACCUGGGAACUGCCUCCAAAACUGCAUGACUAGAGUACGGUAGAGGGUAGUGGAAUUUCCUGUGUAGCGGUGAAAUGCGUAGAUAUAGGAAGGAACACCAGUGGCGAAGGCGACUACCUGGACUGAUACUGACACUGAGGUGCGAAAGCGUGGGGAGCAAACAGGAUUAGAAACCCCGGUAGUCC